rnacentral:rRNA from 1 species
AUUGAACGCUGGCGGCAUGCCUUACACAUGCAAGUCGAACGGUAACAGGUCUUCGGAUGCUGACGAGUGGCGAACGGGUGCGUAAUACAUCGGAACGUGCCCGAUCGUGGGGGAUAACGGAGCGAAAGCUUUGCUAAUACCGCAUACGAUCUACGGAUGAAAGCAGGGGACCGCAAGGCCUUGCGCGGACGGAGCGGCCGAUGGCAGAUUAGGUAGUUGGUGGGAUAAAAGCUUACCAAGCCGACGAUCUGUAGCUGGUCUGAGAGGACGACCAGCCACACUGGGACUGAGACACGGCCCAGACUCCUACGGGAGGCAGCAGUGGGGAAUUUUGGACAAUGGGCGAAAGCCUGAUCCAGCCAUGCCGCGUGCAGGAUGAAGGCCUUCGGGUUGUAAACUGCUUUUGUACGGAACGAAAAGACUCUUUCUAAUAAAGAGGGUCCAUGACGGUACCGUAAGAAUAAGCACCGGCUAACUACGU